GAUGAACGCUGGCGGCGUGCCUAAUACAUGCAAGUCGAGCGAACAGACGAGGAGCUUGCUCCUUCGACGUUAGCGGCGGACGGGUGAGUAACACGUAGGUAACCUACCUAUAAGACUGGGAUAACUUCGGGAAACCGGAGCUAAUACCGGAUAAUAUUUCGAACCGCAUGGUUCGAUAGUGAAAGAUGGCUUUGCUAUCACUUAUAGAUGGACCUGCGCCGUAUUAGCUAGUUGGUAAGGUAACGGCUUACCAAGGCAACGAUACGUAGCCGACCUGAGAGGGUGAUCGGCCACACUGGAACUGAGACACGGUCCAGACUCCUACGGGAGGCAGCAGUAGGGAAUCUUCCGCAAUGGGCGAAAGCCUGACGGAGCAACGCCGCGUGAGUGAUGAAGGUCUUCGGAUCGUAAAACUCUGUUAUUAGGGAAGAACAAACGUGUAAGUAAAUGUGCACGUCUUGACGGUACCUAAUCAGAAAGCCACGGCUAACUACGUG
rnacentral:rRNA from 1 species